rnacentral:rRNA from 1 species
UGGGGAAUAUUGCACAAUGGGCGCAAGCCUGAUGCAGCCAUGCCGCGUGUAUGAAGAAGGCCUUCGGGUUGUAAAGUACUUUCAGCGGGGAGGAAGGUGUUGAGGUUAAUAACCUCAGCAAUUGACGUUACCCGCAGAAGAAGCACCGGCUAACUCCGUGCCAGCAGCCGCGGUAAUACGGAGGGUGCAAGCGUUAAUCGGAAUUACUGGGCGUAAAGUGCACGCAGGCGGUCUGUCAAGUCGGAUGUGAAAUCCCCGGGCUCAACCUGGGAACUGCAUUCGAAACUGGCAGGCUAGAGUCUUGUAGAGGGGGGUAGAAUUCCAGGUGUAGCGGUGAAAUGCGUAGAGAUCUGGAGGAAUACCGGUGGCGAAGGCGGCCCCCUGGACAAAGACUGACGCUCAGGUGCGAAAGCGUGGGGAGCAAACA